AGCUUGCUUUCAAAUGAGCCUCGGUGGACAUUAACUCAAGUCAGUAAAACACCUUCACAGCCAGUAAAAGAGUCACCCUCUGAGGUCAGAAAGCUCACUUGGCAACACAGUCCAGUGGACGGGGCCUAACAGGCAGAGAGAGCCGGGCCCACAGGGCACUCUCAGCCAGCAGCUCACUGGUAAGUGGUGUCGAGAAGGCCUGUCUCCUUUCUGUUCACUUCCAUCAUCUUGUUUUCUUUUCAAAACUUUAUUGUACUUAUUAAUGAAAGUGAAACUUUUCACACCCAUCCCAGAGUGUGUCUGGAACCAAGCAAGAAAAUUGUGAGGGUGUAAACAUGAAAGCAUUCUCCAAAAUUAAGGUAGCAUCAUUAUCUGGGGGACCCAGACUCUGGUUCUCCCUUCAUAUUUGGAAACACCAUGCUGAACACCUUCCAACGUUUCGAUCCCAUAAAGCUGUUCCAAUUGUCCUGUUCCAGUGAUCUGCCCAGACUCCCACAGCACCCAGCCUGGGGCUGCUCGGACCUAGCCUUAGCUGCAUUGGCUACUUUCUGUGGGAGACCGGGUGGUGGAGCAGGCUGUACACCCGGCCUCAGGUCAGAGCACUUGCUGAGCUCUGUAACCCGGGACAAAGGGCCUCGCCUCUCAGAGGGUCACUGUCCUCACCUGUAAAAGUGUUUUACCUACUUUACAGGGUUUUUGUACCAUCACACAAAAUAAUGCACAUGCAAGUCCCUUAUAACUUGGACAGUACAAUACAAUCGAUGGAUUAAUGCCAAUCAGCCCCUUCAAAGACUAACCCACCUGCAGGUGGGCCUACGACGUGAUGCUCAUCAGCAUCUCAUUCCCAGAAAUUCAUUCCCAGAUCCAAACGCAGAUUAAAUAGGGACUUCCAUACCUCCUACCCCUUGUUUGUUUGUGUGCUUGCUUGUUUCAGUUUGUUUCUAUAUUUAGAAAACAAGAAAGCCAGGUUGCUGGAUCACAUUGCUCACCAAAGUCUUCGGGUCAUUUGAAAUGAGAAACACCAUGUCACAGGUCACUGUGGUCCCUCGCAGUAAUGAAUAGGAGCCAAUGAAUUCCCGAGAUUAGCAGCGAGUGAAGAGAAAGGAGAAAAAACCCUCAAAGUUAAAACCUGAAUAAACAGUGUUACAAAAGGACUGCUUUGUGAGGUGUUAUGGGGUGCUGUUGUAUAAUACCGGCUGGCCCACUAAUUAGCGCUCAACAACAUUUUACAGUCAUAUAUUUCCCCCCAGUCAUGGGGUGCUUUCAGGGGCUGAAGGUUCUGAGGACUGAAACACGGUAGGAUUUGGAGCAAUUCUUCCUCAAUGAUCGCCUUAUAUAGGCCUCACACAAUCCCUGGAGGUAAGAGUCCCUCUAGGGUGUGCUGGCCACCUUGCUGGCUGGGAGGAACACAUGGUAAAAGCUGCACUACCAGGGGAUCAAGUCUUGUGAGCAGGUUAGGAGUCUUUCACACUCGCAAAAUACCAAGAUGAGGAACAGGCAGGCA
rnacentral:lncRNA from 1 species